rnacentral:misc_RNA from 1 species
AAGAAAUGCGGCGGAGGGGCCCAAAAGGCCCCCGAGCCAACACGUUCUACCCUGUCUUUUCGAUACCUCCACCUCCUCCCCGGCCUCCGGGCCGGGACGGCUACCUCAAAAAAAACCUUGCAGUUUACAGUCAAUUCAGUAUCUUGUAACAAAAUUA